rnacentral:rRNA from 1 species
UACAGAGGGGGCAAGCGUUGUUCGGAAUUACUGGGCGUAAAGGGCGCGUAGGCGGCCUUCUAAGUCGAACGUGAAAUCCCUGGGCUCAACCCAGGAACUGCGUCCGAGACUGAAAGGCUUGAAUCCGGGAGAGGGAUGUGGAAUUCCAGGUGUAGCGGUGAAAUGCGUAGAUAUCUGGAGGAACACCGAUGGCGAAGGCAGCCUUCUGGGCCAACACUGACGCUCAUGCACGAAAGCGUGGGGAGCAAACCGG